CUCAUGACGGUGGAAGUGAGCUAUUGGAGCCGGAUUUUACUGCUCUCGGUGGGGGUUUUGGCAACAACAGCCACCGCCCAGAACUGCAGUUACAUUUUACAAGGUCCAAACGGGACAAUACAAAGUCCGGGAUUCCCGUACGGCUAUCCAAAUUAUGCAAACUGUACCUGGACAAUCACCGCCAAAGAGCAGAACAGAAUACAACUUGUUUUCCAGUCCUUUGCGCUAGAGGAAGAUUUUGAUGUCUUGUCUGUUUAUGACGGGUUGCCCCAACAAGGAAGUCUAAGAACAAGGCUUACAGGUUUCCAGCUGCCUCCUCCCAUUGUGAGUACUGGAGUGGUGCUGUCCUUGUUGCUUGUAAGCGACUAUGCUGUCAGUGCUCAAGGAUUUCAGGCAACCUAUGAAGGUGGGUUUGCGUUCGGUGAACUUUUGACAUUCAUAUGCU